GGGAAUCUUCCACAAUGGGCGAAAGCCUGAUGGAGCAACGCCGCGUGAGCGAUGAAGGCCUUCGGGUUGUAAAAUUCUGUUAUAAGGGAAAAAAGGUGAUAGGAGGAAAUGACUAUCAAUUGACGGUACCUUAUGAGAAAGCAACGGCUAACUACGUGCCAGCAGCCGCGGUAAUACGUAGGUGGCAAGCGUUAUCCGGAAUUAUUGGGCGUAAAGAGCGCGCAGGCGGUUUCUUAAGUCUGAUGUGAAAGCCCCCGGCUCAACCGGGGAGGGUCAUUGGAAACUGGGAGACUUGAGUGCAGAAGAGGAGAGUGGAACUCCAUGUGUAGCGGUGAAAUGCGUAGAUAUAUGGAAGAACACCAGUGGCGAAAGCGGCUCUCUGGUCUGUAACUGACGCUGAGGUUCGAAAGCGUGGGUAGCA
rnacentral:rRNA from 1 species